GCCCGGGCGGCUCAGUGGGUUGAGCGUCUGACUUCGGCUCAGGUCAUGAUCUUGCGGCCUGUGAGUUCGAGCCCCACGUCGGGUU
rnacentral:tRNA from 1 species